AUACUUUUCCAGGUCAGAAGCAUGAUGAUAGGGUGUUCACACUUUUGUGUGACAUGCUCAUGCCUUAAAUCUUGUUAUUAAUUUGGCAUAUAACCCAUCUGACA